UUAUUUGACUUGUAAAUCUUUACAGAACCAGCAGUGGCUUCAUCUGAACUCUGUACUGUAACAAUAUGUGGCAAGAACAAAACAGAAAUUAUGACAACAAUGUGCAUCCUCCUUGUGAUUUAUUUAACAAAAUAUGACUUCCCCUUUAAAUUGGACGUCACCAUAAUGUCUUCCAGUCAGGUGUUUUACAAAAAAUAUCACAUCUCAGUUGUAUUGAUUUGCUGUGAAAAUAAAAAGAAGUAGAGAGAGAGAACGAGAGAAAAUCAAGAACCCGAGGCCUCCGGAGAGAGAGAUAGACAGAGAGAGAGAGGGAGGGAGA